CAAGCACAUGCUGUAAUAACAUGCAUGUGAGCAUGUGGGAGUGGGAUCAGCUGCUUACAGCAGUCGACAAUGAUAAACGGAUCAAUCAACAAACCUACAUUUUAUACUAAUAUAUUUUAACGUUUUCCAAGUAGGCUAUCGAUCAGAUAAAAUUAACUGCCGGACUGAUUGAUCGCUACAAAAUAUUAAAAGUUUUAUCCCUUUUCACCAGCCAACAUGCUGAGGAUUCAUUAAAAUCAGUUAUAAGGUCGUUCUUGCUUACCGAAAUUACGUUCGACUACUUUUGGCAACUCCGCUCUGCCGACCAUCCCGCAAACAAAUAUUACGAAAAAGCAAAUUAAUCAUACGAAAAUAUAAGUUCGAAAAACUCGCCAUGACGGACAGCAUCGAGGCUCUCUAGUAUCUUCAAAAUGAAGUUUCCGAUAUCAUUGAUAACGAUAACGAGGAGCAAACCAAACAGUUUCAACUACUGGUAUCCGUCACAUUCCGGGAACAGGAGGAAAAAACGCAAGAAAACUUCAUGUCCGUCAAACCAAAUUGUAUGGCAAGUUGACAGAAUUUUUUUCCGAAUCGCUCACGCAGCCUCGGGACAAUUUAAUUGAUUUAUUGCCAUUAUGAUGAACGAGUGAAACCGGGUAAUCGACAACUCAUUGGCGAUUGACAAUGAUCAAUUGAAUUUGGAGUAGAGGAGAUUAGUGAGCGGUUCAAAAGGAGCAGUCACUGCGUGGCUCAAGAAUGUCCAAAAUUAUUGCGCAAAGGUCUUCUGGAGUUGUUCCCUGGCUGUGUCGAAGUGGCCUCACCGCAGUUUACCAUUAUAACUGUUGAUCAAAAAUUAAAUGAUCAAAGUCACCUGUGGAGCAGGAAAAUGAAAACAGAGAAGCUGGCUAUAGUCUUACAUAAAUAUUCUUGUGAUUGGUGAUUCAUCAUUGGCGAAAUUUCAGCUGUGUUUUGCACUGUUCCAAGAGCUAUAGCAACAACGGGGCGAGGUUCGUUCGGGGCUGGUUUUAACAGUGGCUGGUACAUCCGAUCAAGAAGCUGAAGAACGUAGGUUGGAAGCUGGUGCUAUGGUUUUUAUGACUGCUGUAACUGCCAGCCAUUGAAUUACGAAGAUGCACAAUCCGAAGUUCAGCCUCCACCCUUCUACAAGGACGUUUCAUCGUAAAUUCAAGCUGAUCUGGAUGACACAGAGCUGGCGUCAAUCCAAAUUGGGAAUUUAUUACCAAGGAGUGCAGGUCGUGGAUGGUUAGAUGCAACCAAAACAGCAUAUGUCGAAUGUCGUGCUCCAUCUGUCAGUGGUGACAAUGAGUUGCCAACCGAAUUCGCAGUACAGGAAAUUAGUAAGUGGUUCAAAAGAAGCAGUCACUGCGUGUCACUUCAAAAGAAUGUCCAACAUUGUAGCGCGAAGGUCCCCUGGAGUUGUUCCCUGGCUGUGUCGAAGUGGCCUCACCGCAGUUUACCAUUAUAACUGUUGGUAAAAAAUUAAAUUCUCAAAGUCAUCCAUGGAGCAGGGAAAUGGAAAUUGAGAAGCUGGCUAUAUUUUUUGUUCUGACAGCAUCUGACACCUGCACGCAGUCUAAGAUGGGCGGUUAUUGGGCAGAUUUCAUAAAUAGCGGACAACCCUAUCUUAAUCUCCUCAAAAUUAGUACCUCAUACAAAACUGAUCAACGGUUCCGCUGCUUGGGCUUCAAAAUAGAGCAAAAGAAUCAUUAUCAAAUAAUAUCCAUUGAUAAUGAUCCGAGAGAGUUUCCCGGAAGUAUCUAUACAACCGUUUCUUCGAAUAUCGAGUUCCUCAAAGAAAGCCGCCUUAACGAUCAUCUAGUUCAGUCUCGUACCCUUUUGAAGAGAAUGUGAUACGAACCUGAUAGUUAGUCAACUAAAAUACAAGAAAUAUCAAGAGUUUACUUUAAUGGGCUCCGAGUAAUCAGGGGAUAAAAAUCAAGUAACGAUUCUUGCUGAAGUCUUGUGACAGCUGGAAAACGCAACGGGAUUCAUUGAACGGAAGUCCUGGUCAAUUUGAUGAUUUAGGUGUACCGUUUGUUUGCAGUAUAACUCCUCACUUAAAGAAUUUUAAUCAUACUCAGGAUAUCGUUGAUGCUAUUAUGAAACGGAAAGUAACUUUCGAUACAUUGAAGCUCGUUUGUGCGCUCAUCUCGACACUGUGGAUACCCCUUCCGAUGAUGGAAAGAAGUCAAAAGAGAUUUGAGAGGCAUCAAGGGUGACUUGAAAAGGCCGUUUGAAAGAGCAUGGAAAGGUUACGAUACCAAGUACGCAGAAAUGGAAAAGGAAUAGAAGCAACACCAAGUACCCAGAGGGUGACCUCAUCCGCUCGGAAGUUACACCCGCUGAAAUUGCUGACUAAAUGGAAAAGUAGGGACGAUUGUUUCAAUUACAGAUUUGCGGGAUUCGUUCGCAAAUGUCAAACGAUGGCCACACGAGAUUGACUAAAACUGCAAUAGAGUCAAUAGGGUUCUCGCGGAUAACAAAAAUGAUGCUCCUAACUAGAAAGUUGUACUGACCAAAGAUAUUGAACGUUUUCCCACCUAAAUGGAUAUUUAACUCGGUUAAAUAUCCAUGAGACCUCGGUUAAAGGCAUCGUCAAUGUUGAAGAGAAUGUUUUCAUCUGUAUGCUGGGCUCGACAUAAGUAGAAUGUUUGCUGAUUCCUCGGGAGAACGACAAAAAAAAAGGAUAAAUUUAUACCAAAUCCGCGAGAUUUGGCAAAGCGCUUCAAUUGGUCGAUGAAAUAAUUUAAUGGCAUCCUAGAUGCGAUCCAGGGCGAUUCGACGACGACGUCACUAGUAGCGGCAAAGUUAUCGGCAACUCCAAUGGCAAUUCGCAUGGGAACCUCGAGUGAUUGGACCGGUGGCUUAACGAGAUCCAAUCCAAAACAUGAUGCAAAAACCGUGAUGACGGGGAAAAGCGAAACUCGAGGACGAGGGAAUUGUUAAAACGGAGGUCUGAGUGAGAGAAGAUAAUACACGGAGACAACUUCAAAGACGGGCCAACGAACCCCAUUAUCGAGUGGAAGGACAGAGAGGAAAAACACGAUACAAAUAUGCGAAGCACUGUGAUACAUUACGAAAAAUGUAUUUACCAACGAGAAAGUCACCGAAAAUAAUACCAACGUAUAUACUCCAAUUGAUGCGCAAAUGAUAGACGCGUCAGUGGAGGAAACUUGAGAUCGACAACCUUCUUUACUCUCCAUUCUAUGAAUAUGGAUUUAUCUGUAUUUGUUAAUAAACUUGUAAUUCAUCGUA
rnacentral:lncRNA from 1 species